GACGUAGGGCGCGAGCGUUGUCCGGAUUUAUUGGGCGUAAAGAGCUCGUAGGCGGCUUGUUGCGUCGGCCGUGAAAACCUGCGGCUCAACUGCAGGCUGGCGGUCGAUACGGGCAGGCUGGAGUUCGGUAGGGGAGACUGGAAUUCCUGGUGUAGCGGUGAAAUGCGCAGAUAUCAGGAGGAACACCGGUGGCGAAGGCGGGUCUCUGGGCCGAUACUGACGCUGAGGAGCGAAAGCGUGGGGAGCGAACAGG
rnacentral:rRNA from 1 species